AUUGAACGCUGGCGGCAGGCCUAACACAUGCAAGUCGAGCGAGCGGCGGACGGGUGAGUAAUGUAUGGGGACUGCCCGAUAGAGGGGGAUAACUACUGGAAACGGUGGCUAAUACCGCAUACUAUCGGAUAACCCAUAUGGGAUUGGCUAGUAGGUGGGGUAAAGGCUCACCUAGGCGACGAGCUCUAGCUGGUCUGAGAGGAUGAUCAGCGACACUGGGACUGAGACACGGCCCAGACGCCGAGGGAGGCAGCAGUGGGGAAUAUUGGACAAUGGGGGCAAGCCUUAUGCAGCCAGGCCGCGUGUAUGAAGAAGGCCUUAGGGGUGGAAAGUACGUUCAGCGGGGAGGCGGUACCCGCAGAAGAAGCACCGGCUAACUCCGUGCCAGCAGCCGCGGUAAUAC
rnacentral:rRNA from 1 species